UAGGGAAUCUUCCGCAAUGGACGAAAGUCUUGACGGAGCAACGCCGCGUGAGUGAUGAAGGCUUUCGGGUCGUAAAACUCUGUUGUUAGGGAAGAACAAGUACGAGAGUAACUGCUCGUACCUUGACGGUACCUAACCAGAAAGCCACGGCUAACUACGUG
rnacentral:rRNA from 1 species